rnacentral:rRNA from 1 species
GACGAACGCUGGCGGCGUGCUUAACACAUGCAAGUCGAACGGAAAGGCCCUGCUUUUGUGGGGUGCUCGAGUGGCGAACGGGUGAGUAACACGUGAGUAACCUGCCCUUGACUUUGGGAUAACUUCAGGAAACUGGGGCUAAUACCGGAUAGGAGCUCCUGCUGCAUGGUGGGGGUUGGAAAGUUUCGGCGGUUGGGGAUGGACUCGCGGCUUAUCAGCUUGUUGGUGGGGUAGGGGCUUACCAAGGCUUUGACGGGUAGCCGGCCUGAGAGGGUGACCGGCCACAUUGGGACUGAGAUACGGCGCAGUCUCCUACGGGAGGCAGUAGUGGGGAAUAUUGUACAAUGGGCGGAAGCCUGAUGCAGCAACGCCGCGUGCGGGAUGACGGCCUUCGGGUUGUAAACCGCUUUCGCCUGUGACGAAGCGUGAGUGACGGUAAUGGGUAAAGAAGCACCGGCUAACUACGUG